rnacentral:rRNA from 1 species
ACUACGGGAGGCAGCAGUGAGGAAUAGUGGUCAAUGGACGAGAGUCUGAACCAGCCAAGUAGCGUGAAGGAUGACUGCCCUAUGGGUUGUAAACUUCUUUUAUAUGGGAAUAAAAUGUUCCACGUGUGGGAUUUUGUAUGGACCAGAUGAAUAAGGAUCGGCUAACUCCGUGCCAGCAGCCGCGGUAAUACGGAGGAUCCGAGCGUUAUCCGGAUUUAUUGGGUUUAAAGGGAGCGUAGGGGGAUUGUUCAGUCAGUUGUGAAAGUUUGCGGCUCAACCGUAAAAUUGCAGUUGAAACUGGCAGUCUUGAGUACAGUAGAGGUUGUCGGACUUCGUGGUGUAUCGUU